GACGAACGCUGGCGGCGUGCUUAACACAUGCAAGUCGAACGAAGAGGCCUCUUCUGAUGUACUCAAGUGGGGAAAGGGUGAGAAACACGCGGAUGAUCUGCCCUGCACUCGGGGAAAAACCUGGGAAACUGGAUCUAAUACCGGAUAAGAACAUGCUUUAGAGUGGGUGGUGUAAAGUCUCUUCAGUGUAUGAUGAUCCCGCGGACUAUCUGCUUGUUGGUGGGGAAAUGUACUACCGAGGCGAUCACUGGUAGGCGGAAUGAGAUGAUGGUCGGCCACGUUGCUAAUGAGAUACCGACAAUACUCCUACAGGAGGCAGCGGUGAAUAAUAUAGCACGAUGGAAGCAAUGCUGAUGCCGCGACGCCGGGGGGAGGAUGACCGUCUGUCUGUUGAAAACUCCUUUCGCCAAGGACAAACCGUUUUGUGACAGCCACCUGCACAAGAAGCACCGGCUAACUACGUGCCGGCAUCCGUCGUGUAAUACGUAGGCGCGCAAGCGCUGACCGGAAUUACUGGACGCAAAGAUCUCGGAGGUGGUUUGUCACGUCGUCGGUGAUAUUCCACAGAUUAACUGUGGGCGUGCAUGCCAUACGAACUGACUUGAGUACUGUAUGGCUAACUGGAAAUUCCUGGUGUAGCGGUGAAAUGCGCAGAUAUCUGGAGGAACACCGAUGGCGAAGGCAGGUAACUGGGAAGCUACUGACGCUGAGGAGCGAAAGCAUGGGUAGCAAACAGGAUUAGAUACCCUGGUAGUCCAUGCCGUAAACGGUGGGCGCUAGGCUGUAGGGACCUUUUGGGGUUUCUGUGCCGUAUCUCACGCAUUAAGCGCCCCGCUUGGGGAGCACGGCCGCGAGGCUAAAAUUCAAAGGAAUGUGACGGGGGCCCGCACAAGCGGCGGACCAUGGGGAUUAAUUGGAUGCAACGGGAAGACCCUUACCUGUGCUUGACAUACACUGGAUCGCUGCAGAGAUGUAGUUUCCCUUGUGAAUAGUGUACAGGUGGUGCAUGGCUGUCGUCAGCUCGUGUCGUGAGAUGUUGGGUUAAGUCCCGCAACGAGCGCAACCCUUGUCUUAUGUUGCCAGCACGUUAUGGCGGGGACUCAUGAGAGACUGCCGGGGCUAACUCGGAGGAAGGUGGGGACGACGUCAAGUCAUCAUGCCCCUUAUGUCCAGGGCUUCCCCCAUGCUACAAUGGCCGGUACAAUGGGCAGCGAGCCUGUGAGGGUGAGCUAGUUGUCAAAAACUCGUUUUAGUUCGGAAUGGGGUUUGCAACUUGACCCCCAGAAGUUGGAGUCGGUAGUAAUUGCAGAUCAGCAAUGCUGCGGUGAAUACGUUCCCGGGCCU
rnacentral:rRNA from 1 species